rnacentral:lncRNA from 1 species
UUGUAACAUAUCACUCUCAAUAAUAUUCAUUUAGUCAUUUGCUCACAUGGUAUCAGAGGAGUAAAAGAUUCUAAAACCUAAAAAAAAAUUUCUACCUCGGCCGCCACUUCUUUUCUUCUUCUUCUUCUUCUUUUCAUCUUCCUCUCUCUCUCUCAUUCCGUUAUCUCUCUUCUCUCUCGUGUUCGUGUCAAUCACGAUACCCUCAUCGGCCAUGUCUAACUCCGG